rnacentral:rRNA from 1 species
UACGGAGAGUGCAAGCGUUGUUCGGAAUUACUGGGCGUAAAGCGCACGUAGGCGGCUUGGUCAGUCUGAUGUGAAAGCCCUGGGCUCAACCCAGGAAGUGCAUUGGAUACUGCCGAGCUCGAGUUCUGGAGGGGGAAGCGGAAUUCCGAGUGUAGAGGUGAAAUUCGUAGAUAUUCGGAGGAACACCAGUGGCGAAGGCGGCUUCCUGGACAGAUACUGACGCUGAGGUGCGAAAGCGUGGGGAGCAAACAGG